rnacentral:tRNA from 1 species
GGGGCUGUAGUAUAACCUGGCUAGAAUAGCUGGCUCCAGACCAGCGGAUCUGGGUUCAAAUCCCAGCAGCCCCA